UACGUAGGGUGCGAGCGUUACUCGGAAUUACUGGGCGUAAAGCGUGCGCAGGCGGUUUUGUAAGCCAGGGGUGAAAUCCCCGGGCUCAACCUGGGAAUGGCAUUUGGGACUGCAAGGCUGGAGUGCGGCAGAGGAGACUGGAAUUCCUGGUGUAGCAGUGAAAUGCGUAGAUAUCAGGAGGAAUACCGAUGGCGAAGGCAGGUCUCUGGGCUGACACUGACGCUCAUGCACGAAAGCGUGGGGAGCAAACAGG
rnacentral:rRNA from 1 species